UGCCAAUGACACUUUGGACGCUUCGUUCACGGUAAGUACAACUCCUGCUACCUGUGGCCACGCACUGUAAUUUAUGACCCAUUUUCAUUGUGUACCGGUCGUAUAAGCUCCAAGAGAAGACACGGAUGAUCAUUCCGUCUAGUGUUUUCCUAAUCAACUGGUCAUGCGGGCGCUUGUCCCCCUUUAACCAUUCAGACUUGAUGGUGACAGCGAUGUGAUAAAGAAAAAAACGGGGAUGUCAGUUUCGACGAUGUCGAACUGGCUACCCCAGUACGCUUACACAAAGAAAGUACAAACAGAUGAUGAGAUGAUGAGAAAACAAAGAGAUGACCAGAGAAGAACAGAUAUGAUGAUGGAGUUCACCAUGCAGUUCAAACGUUUCGACCAACUGAGAGCUCGCUCAGAAACUCUACAUUUCUGGAAGCGAAAAGGGGGGGGGGGGCAACGGCCCCUCUUCCCCCUUCCCCCCAGCUGGCGCCCAUGAGUGGAGGGUUUGCCCUUCUACUGCACUACAACUGGCUUAUUCGAAAAAUAUAAUAUUGUUUCCAUAUAUCGCAUGUACGAUUAUAAACUGUGCCUCACUUACAGAGAAGCAGUUGCCAAUAGCAAUAUGACAUUUCUUGAAAUUGUAAAUUUCUUGGCAAACGUGAACUGUUAUCCGUCUCGUCACCGCCAAAACAGAUGGUCUGUUAGAAGGUGCAGAACAACGUACCGUACACAACUAAUACAACGAACACUUCAAGCACGUCAAAGACGUCAAGCGUCCUGGAACAGCUGGUCGCACCAGUACGACCUUUACGUUUCCAUUUUUGUUUCUUUCUUCUUCUAUUCUAUUCUAUUCUAGGAAGCACUUCCUCGACUUCUGAGCGUAUUUAAUCGAGAUUUUCUCAAUUCCUCCACGCGUAACAUAAAAAAAUAUUUCUGAACGUAAAAUGGUGAAAAAAGUAGAAGUACCGUAAUUUUGUUAUCAUAUAUAGCUACUGCAUUUUGUACUUUUGUGUUUUCUUACAUGACCUUUGUGUAUUCGAAUGUGCAUGAAUCAUGAUGCUGCUGUUGUAGGGGACCAGUGGCCCCGUCAAACCGCGAAUAGUGGCUUUUUGUCACCGGUUCCCUGUCACUCAGUGAUGAAAUAAAUAAAUGGAUGGUACGUUUAUACUUUC